rnacentral:lncRNA from 1 species
AAAAACAUAAACCAUAGAUAGAAUAUAGGAAUACCGACCAAUAAAUUGAACACAAAAACAACAGUCAACACAUAUAACACAUUAAUUUACAUCAACAAAUUUAACACAUGAUGAAGCAUAAGAGAAACAUGAACAAAUAGGAAUACACUCCGCAUGCAUUUAGUUACAUAGAACACAUGCAUAUCUAUGUAUAUAAAUACAUAUUUGAAUAUAUUCAACAUAGAGAACAAAUAUUUGAUUCAAAUUCAGCUGGAGAAGAGAUCUGUUUCCUCUUUUUAGGUUUCACUUUUUUCGGUUUCGCUCCCUUGUUGUCUUCCGCCUCUUUCAUCAGUGUUGAAGAUCUUGUUCGUCCAGUGCUACAAAACGAUUGACCUUGUUUUCUUUAGGCUUCCGGCCACCUGAAGUCGACGCAGAUUUGUCGGAAGAAUUCUUAAUGUUCGCCAUUAAAACCUAAGUGCUUUGGAAGAACGAGCAAA